UAGCAGAGUUCCCGAACAGUGUGCUUGCAUUUAAAGCUUUAUCAUCUUUCAGGUAUAUUGCUAUUUGUUCCGGGUUGAAGAUAACGGCCAGUCUCCUUUUCUUCCUUGAUUGGGUGUUGAUAUCAUGGCAACACAGGAAGGAAUUGACAGAAGGUCCAGCCAUGACUGUCGGAGAGAUUGUUUCCUCUAUCAUCUCCCUGGACAGACUCUCGGCCAUUGGUAGAAGUGACUUUGGCGGAGGAGAAGAAGUGUCUCCUAUAGAAGAAAGCUUUGACACAAGCCAGCAUGGGAAAGAUCGUGGACACAGACAUGGAUCAAAACAUCAUGUUAGUUUUGUAGGUGUACCAACAUAACAUUUUAAUUGUGAGUAUAUUUAUAAACACGAGGGCAAUGAAUCCAGUGAACAGAAUGUAAGUACAUACGCAGAGACUCAAGUCUAUAUUUAGGUAUUCAACUGUUCUUCGCGAAGGUAAAAUUAUGAAAAAGAUAGAACACUAUGAUUGACCACUUAAACUAGCAUCAUUUCUCUUAUCCUGCAUUCAUUAUGUACUUUUAAAGGUUUCUUGAUUUUUAUCAAGUGAUUUCUUGCACUGAAGGAGAAAAUCAUUUGUGUAACCAAUCAUAGUGUGGUGAAUGUUAAAGAUGUUGUGAUGAUCAACUUCACAACACGAGCCUAUAAGGUGUGUCGAGCCUAUAAGGUGUGUCAAGCCUAUAAGGUGUGUCAAGUUAAAAUGUAUUCAAAAUAAAGUUUUUAAGUAAA